CCCUUAGAUGUUCUGGGCCGCACGCGCGCUACAAUGGUCUUCGCAAACGGAUGCAUUCUCGAAGGAGAAUGCCAAUCUUGGAAUCUAUGCCUUGGUCGGGACAGUUGCUUGCAAUUUUUCGACUCGAACCAGGAAUUCCUUGUAAUCGUGAUUCAUCACAUCACGAUGAAUACGUCCCUGCCCUUUGUACACACCGCCCGUCGCUCCUACCGAUCGAAGAGUUAGGUGAAUUGUUUUGAUCGAUAAGAUUUGACUAUGGUCAACUCUAGUUGUGAAAUUCUGUGAAUCUGACUGUUUAGAGGAAGGAAAAGUCGUAACA
rnacentral:rRNA from 1 species